AUGUCCUUCAAAAAGGUGCAUGCAAUUGAAGAGAUUAAUGUUUUGAGUGGAAAUAUGGAUGAACUUAUGAAAUUGUUUGCUAAUAAGAGUGUUUAUUCUGAUCCUAAUGAUAUGCCUUUGUCUACUUUGAUUGAGAAUAAUAAUGAAUCUAUGGAUGUGAUUUUUGUUGGUAGGAGCAAUUUUGGUAACAACGCUUAUAGAGGAAACUUUAAUCCUAGGCCGUAUCCUAGUAAUUCCUCUAAUAAUUAUGGUAAUUCCUACAACAACUCUUAUGGAAAUUUUCAUAAUAUGCCCUCUGAUUUUGAGACUAGUGUUAAAUAA
rnacentral:rRNA from 1 species